UACAGAGGGGGCAAGCGUUGUUCGGAAUUACUGGGCGUAAAGGGCGCGUAGGCGGCCUUCUAAGUCGAACGUGAAAUCCCCGGGCUCAACCCGGGAACUGCGUCCGAUACUGGAAGGCUUGAAUCCGGGAGAGGGAUGCGGAAUUCCAGGUGUAGCGGUGAAAUGCGUAGAGAUCGGGAAGAACAUCGGUGGCGAAAGCGCUCUACUGGGCCAUAACUGACACUCAGGGACGAAAGCUAGGGGAGCGAAUGGG
rnacentral:rRNA from 1 species